GAGGUGUCGCCGACCGGCCGGCCGCGGCCCGGGGCGGGCCGGGCGCGUAACAAGGUAUGCUCGCGCGUCUUGGCUAUAUACUUUUGCUGUAAUUUGUUUACCUAAAUUAAGAUUUAUUUUUGUUGGCUCGUAGGAAAAAUAUUGUAUGCAACGUUGUAUAAGUAGGUCAAAAAAUUCUCGUGGCGUAUUCCUUUACAAUGUUCGCCUACGCCUUCGGCUCCGGCUCACAUUGUAACUCACGCCACUCGCCUUUUUUGACCCUUCUUAUACAACUGUUGCAUAAAAUACUAUUUCCUACUCCUCUACUGUUAUCUGUCAUUUAUGCAUUCAUUAACACGAAUAUAAGAACAUACAUAAAAGGUUUCAAGAAAA